rnacentral:rRNA from 1 species
CAGAUUGAACGCUGGCGGAAUGCUUUACACAUGCAAGUCGAACGGCAGCACGGGAGCUUGCUCCUGGUGGCGAGUGGCGAACGGGUGAGUAAUACAUCGGAACGUACCCUGAAGUGGGGGAUAACGUAGCGAAAGUUACGCUAAUACCGCAUAUUCUGUGAGCAGGAAAGAGGGGGAUCGCAAGACCUCUUGCUUUAGGAGCGGCCGAUGUCGGAUUAGCUAGUUGGUGAGGUAAAGGCUCACCAAGGCGACGAUCCGUAGCGGGUCUGAGAGGAUGAUCCGCCACACUGGGACUGAGACACGGCCCAGACUCCUACGGGAGGCAGCAGGUGGGGAAUUUUGGACAAUGGGCGCAAGCCUGAUCCAGCCAUGCCGCGUGAGUGAAGAAGGCCUUCGGGUUGUAAAGCUUCUUUCGGUGGGAAGAAAUGGCACGGGUUAAUACCCUGUGUUGAUGACGGUACCCGCAUAAGAAGCACCGGCUAACUACGUG